UACGGGAGGCAGCAGGAGGAAUUUUGCGCAAUGGGGGAAACCCUGACGCAGCAACGCCGCGUGAGUGAUGAAGGCUUUCGGGUCAUAAAGCUCUGUCAAGUGGGAAGAACCGCCGUAAGGUUAAUAUCCUUAUGGUCUGACGGUACCACUGAAGGAAGCACCGGCUAACUCCGUGCCAGCGACCGCGGUAAU
rnacentral:rRNA from 1 species